rnacentral:rRNA from 1 species
AUUGAACGCUGGCGGCAGGCCUAACACAUGCAAGUCGAACGGGUGGCGGACGGGUGAGUAAUGUAUGGGAAACUGCCUGAUGGAGGGGGAUAACUGCUGGAAACGGUAGCUAAUACCGCAUACCAUCGGAUGUGCCCAGGUGGGAUUAGCUAGUAGGUGGGGUAAAGGCUCACCUGGGCGACGCUCCCUAGCUGGCCUGAGAGGAUGACCAGCCACACUGGAACUGAGACACGGUCCAGACUCCUACGGGAGGCAGCAGUGGGGAAUAUUGCACAAUGGGCGAAAGCCUGAUGCAGCCAUGCCGCGUGUAUGAAGAAGGCCUUCGGGUUGUAAAAUACUUUCGGCGGGGAGGCGGUACCCGCAGAAGAAGCACCGGCUAACUCCGUGCCAGCAGCCGCGGUAAUAC